GGCACCACAUCCAUCUCUCUCGUUCUCACUGAGAAAACAGUUGUUGUCACUGAGCAAAAUCGAAGGUUCUCCUCUUCAAUUUAAGUGAAAUUUCUAUUUCAAAUGUUUAGAUCGAUCCUACGUAAUUCUCUAUUGUUCUUAAGAAUUUGAGAAAUGACCGGAAAAAUCCCUGCCGGAGAAAAUUUCAAUAAAAUGGGGGAUUUUUUCUGUGAACACGGUUCGCAGACUCAUUCAAAUCGCUGAGAAUAAUAUCAAUCUGCUUGAAGCCAAACGCAGAGAGAUACUAAUUGGAAAAAUUGCUAUAGCUGAACACCAUAUCAUCACUGAUCUGGAAAUCCUCAUCAAAAACGAACAAGUUAUAAAGAAAAUUGUGGAAGAUAUUUUGAUGAAGCUUAUUGGAGAUCAGCAACGUCAAGUAAAGAAGGAUGCAGAAACAACGACUGAUGAGAAAUCUAAGAAAGACUGUUGGGACUGAAGAGUUGAAGGAAGGUAAAGUAGAAGAUAUGAUGCUGAUACAAAAGGAGAAACGGAGAGCUCAUACUGUUGGUAUGGUGGUCCUUUAACAAGUUGUUUGUGAUAUAAAUAAAUAGUUGUUGGCAGGAUAAUGAUAUGAGUUGAGCUUACACAAAGAAAUAAGAAUUUAUAUAGGGGGGACCCAACUUGUUAGGAAUGAGGCUUAGUUAUUUUUGUAGAGAACAUUUGUACUCUUUAUUUUUAAUUAAAUAGAGAGGCAUUAGAGCUGACGUUGAGGCUGCUAA